AACGAACGCUGGCGGCAGGCCUAACACAUGCAAGUCGAGCGAGCAUUUCGGUGCUAGCGGCGGACGGGUGAGUAACGCGUGGGAACGUGCCCUUUUCUGCGGAAUAGUCCUGGGAAACUGGGGGUAAUACCGCAUACGCCCUUUUGGGGAAAGAUUUAUCGGAGAAGGAUCGGCCCGCGUUGGAUUAGGUAGUUGGUGGGGUAAUGGCCCACCAAGCCGACGAUCCAUAGCUGGUUUGAGAGGAUGAUCAGCCACACUGGGACUGAGACACGGCCCAGACUCCUACGGGAGGCAGCAGUGGGGAAUCUUAGACAAUGGGGGCAACCCUGAUCUAGCCAUGCCGCGUGAGUGAUGAAGGCCUUAGGGUUGUAAAGCUCUUUCAGCUGGGAAGGUAAUGACGGUACCAGCAGAAGAAGCCCCGGCUAACUCCGUG
rnacentral:rRNA from 1 species